UUAAUUUAAAUUAAGGUAUAAUUUUAAUAUUUAAUUAAAUUAAAAAAAAAUUUUUGACGGUAUUUUAAUUUAUUUAGAGGAAUUUGAUUAAUAAUUGAUAAUCCACGAAUAGAGUAACUUAAAUCUAUGCUUAUAUAUCAUCGUGUAAAAUAUUUUUUUAGAAGUAAUAUUUAAUAAAUUAAUUAAAUUUUAUGUCAGAUCAAGGUAUAGUUUAUAUUUAAGAAUUAAUUGAAUUACAAUAAUUAUAUUUAUGGAUUCUUUUUUUAAAAAUAAUAUGAGAGAGGAUUUAAAAGUAAAUUUAUUUAUUUAAUUAAAUUGAUUUAAAUUUUAAAAUAUGU
rnacentral:rRNA from 1 species